GAAAAUUUAGUUAAAUUUUAUAACAUUAGCUUGUCAAGCUGAAGUUACUUUAAGAAGUAAUUUUCU
rnacentral:tRNA from 1 species